rnacentral:rRNA from 1 species
AACGAACGCUGGCGGCAUGCCUAACACAUGCAAGUCGAACGAGACCUUCGGGGCUUGUGGCGCACGUGUGCGUAACGCGUGGGAAUCUACCCUCAGGUUCGGAAUAACUUAGAGCGAUUUGAUUUAAUAUAGGAUCUUGUCGUAAGUACAAAGAUUUAUCGCCUGAGGAUGAGCCCGCUUAGGAUUAGGUAGUUGGUGCGGUAAAGGAACACCAAGCCGACGAUACUUAGCUGCUCUGCGAGGAUGAUCAGCCACACUGGGACUGAGACACGGCCCAGUCUCCUACGGUAGGCAGUGGUGGGGAGUAUUAUACAAUCAGCCAGAGCGUAGUCCAGCAAUGCCGCGUGUGGUAUGAAGGCCUUGGAGUUGUAAAACUCUGAGUCCCUGUAUGAUAAUGACAGUACUGGGAGAAUAAGCAUCGGCUAACUCCGUG